rnacentral:rRNA from 1 species
ACUGUACUAAACUAACUAAAGUGGGGGAUAGUGAGGGGAUAAAUUUCCUUAAGGAACUCGGCAAAAUCCCAAUGGCCCACCAGGGCAUUUAACUUUUGUAGCAAGGUAUCAAGGUACCUUCUACGAAGGUGGGGACCUCCACCCUAACGGGUGGCGGUUCCUUGGAUUGGAACACGGGCCUCGACUGUUUACCAAAAACAUAGCCCUCGGCCAAUAUGAAAAUAGAAGUAUGGAGGGUGAGGCCUGCCCAAUGGUUGUAUCUAAAAGCGGCUGAUGAAAGUCGGUCUCGUAAGGACAAUUGAAUGGCCGCGGUAACACUGACCGUGAUAAUGUAGCGUAAUCAAUAGCCAAUUAAUUGUUGGCCAGUAUGAAUGGCGCCACGAAGGCCCCACUGUCUUAAGGAAAUUCCCAGUGAAAUUGAAUUCGUAGUGAAGAUGCUACGUCCAAUUUGUUAGACGAAAAGACCCCGUUGAGCUUUACUGGGGCACUUACACUGCCCCCGCCUGCGAGACUAGGCCAAGGCUUACCAUACCUAGGGACUGGCUGAAUUGAAAUGGGUGGCUUAGACUAUGUGGCAGCCCCCCCCGUCGGGGCAGAUGAAACCCCACUCCCCCAUGUCAAAGGGGCUAACCCCCCCCCCUUGGGGGGCACAGUGUAAGUAGGACAGUUUGGUUGGGGCGACCGCCUUUUAGAGAGUAACGAAGGUGCGCUUAAGGUGCGCAAUUAAUGACUGAAGCCUGACUGCGAGGGGGACACCCCGAGCAGACACCCCCAAGCCCGCCCGCCCAGAAGGCGAUGCAACAAGGACAGAGACUUUGUCUCUGUGCCUUUAGCCUUCUGGGAGGGCGGCGGUGGGGUGGGCCAUAGUGACCCGUUAAUUUAGAGUGGAAUAGUUAACGAUCAACGAAUAAAAGUUACCACGGGGAUAACAGCGUAAU